rnacentral:lncRNA from 1 species
AAAUCUUUCCAUCCCUCAGACCCUUUUCUAUGCGGUCUCCGAUUGUGACCAGAUGUGCAAAAUCGGAUGCUGCGCUGCUCACUAAUCUAUCAAAAAAUGGGUCCUUCAACGUGUCCACAAAUAUUCCAGUCAUUUCCUUUUCAGACAAUGGUGGCUCUACCUGAGCAGCCAACUCUCUCCAUCGCUGGGCGUAUUCUUUAAAGGACUCCUUUUCUUUCAUUGCCAUCCCUUGCAACUGCAUUCGGUCGGGUGCCAUAUCCAAAUUAUAUUUGUACUGACGGAGAAAUGCGUCAGCCAAAUCUUCCCAGCUUUGAAUCCGCCCUUGCUCUAAGCUCAUGUACCAUCUUAGAGACGCUCC